AAUAUUGGACAAUGGGCGAAAGCCUGAUCCAGCCAUGCCGCGUGUGUGAAGAAGGUCUUCGGAUUGUAAAGCACUUUAAGUUGGGAGGAAGGGUUGUAGGUUAAUACCCUGCAAUUUUGACGUUACCAACAGAAUAAGCACCGGCUAACUUCGUGCCAGCAGCCGCGGUAAUACGAAGGGUGCAAGCGUUAAUCGGAAUUACUGGGCGUAAAGCGCGGGUAGGUGGUUCGUUAAGUUGGAAGAAAAAGACCCGGGGUUAACCUGGGAAUUGCUUUCAAAACUGAUGAGAUAGAGUACGGUAGAGGGCAGUGGAAUUUCCUGUGGAGCGGUGAAAUGCGUAGAUAUAGUAAGAAACAUCAGUGGCGAAGGCGACUACCUGGACUGAUACUGACACUGAGGUGCGAAAGCGUGGGGAGCAAACAGG
rnacentral:rRNA from 1 species